AACGAACGCUGGCGGCAGGCUUAACACAUGCAAGUCGAGCGAACCCUUCGGGGUUAUCGGCGGACGGGUGAGUAACGCGUGGGAACGUGCCCUUUUCUACGGAAUAGCCUCGGGAAACUGAGAGUAAUACCGUAUACGCCCUUUUGGGGAAAGAUUUAUCGGAGAAGGAGCGGCCCGCGUUGGAUUAGGUAGUUGGGGGGGUAAUGGCCUACCAAGCCGACGAUCCAUAGCUGGUUUGAGAGGAUGAUCAGCCACACUGGGACUGAGACACGGCCCAGACUCCUACGUGAGGCAGCAGUGGGGAAUCUUAGACAAUGGGGGCAACCCUGAUCUAGCCAUGCCGCGUGAGUGAUGAAGGCCUUAGGGUUGUAAAGCUCUUUCAGCUGGGAAGAUAAUGACGGUACCAGCAGAAGAAGCCCCGGCUAACUCCGUGCCAGCCGCCGCGGUAACAC
rnacentral:rRNA from 1 species